GAUCAAUCAGCUGCAGAAAAAGAUACAGAAGACAACCAGCUGUCAAAAUAAAACAGGAAAGCAGUUUGACUAACAAACUCAAACUUGACAUAGAAAGCGUCACGAGGGAAGGCGAGGAAAAUAACACAAAAUAAACUCAGAGUUGGACUUUAACCUAGAAGUGAAGCCAUAAAUUCAAACUCCUCUUACUGGGACUGCAAAGCAGACAUCGGGCACUCAGGAGGCUGAUUUGUUUUAAGAUGAGGGGACUCACACUGCUUAUGGUGGGAAUUAUUCUGGCAGCACUGACAGAUCUGCCUUUGACAGACUUUUCAUUUGCAGAGGCUGGAUAUUUACAUAUGAGGCCAAUGGGAGGUACAAACGGGACGUCCAACUCAACAGUGCCACAAGAGGAAAGCGGUGAAAAUAAAGUUUUUGUGCAGUGGAAUGGCACCAUUAGACCAGUGGAAAGUGAUUUUGGGUUCCCUCCUACAGAGCCCCUCCAACAGAGCCCCCCGAAGGACACCAAAGGAAACACACAAAAGUAAAGACACAACAAACAGUUCAACUCACCAGAGCAAACACAUUUGAAGUCCUGGAGGAGAAAUACUGGCAUCAACGUGAAGAAGCCCCAGGCCAUUUAUUCAUUCUGCUGCUGCUUAUUUUAAUUGUAAAUUCUUUCUUUUCUUUUCUUUUUUAAACUACUGUGUGAAAACUUGAAAACUUGAACCUGCUGACUGGCCAUAGCUUUCCUCUGUGUAUGUGUGGCCCCCAGCCAUUUCUAAAUGUAUGUAUUUGGGUUUCAUAUGGGCUUGUUAUUAUAAAAUCUGACUUGAUUUUAAAUUUCGUGUCAAAUUCCAUAUAUAAACACAUUUAUAAAAUUUGGGGUUUUUGUUCCUGUUAAAAGGGAUGUUUUCCUUCCCACUGUCACUAAAGCACUUGCUCAUAGGGGAUCAUAUAAUUGUUGGGGUUUUCUCUGUUGUAUUAUUGUAAGGACUACCUUACAAUAUAAAAUACCCUGAGGCAACUGUUAUUGUGAUUUGGCGCUGCAUAAAUAAAUUAAAUAGACUUUGUUAGUUGUUUUUUCUUUAAACUGCCUAUUCGUCAACUACCCCUUACAAAGCACACAGUGUCUUGUCGGUCCUUUUUAACACCAGUUAAAUAAUAGCAAUAAUAAUGUAAAUAAUAAUAAAAUGAUAAUGUGAUUUAUUUAAUUUAUAUUUAAAAUUAACAAUUGAAAUAUUUUAAAAAUCACAAAUAAAAUGACCCUUUUCCUUUAGCCGUAACACUUAAGAGCCAGCAGGCAUUAAAUAGUCAUAAUAGAUUCACUGCUGUGAAAGUAACAAAUUGUAUAGAUGUUUGUGUUAAAAUUCAAAGCAAUCUAGAGACAUUCACACAGGGCACUUUAUUUUGUGUUUUUCCUUGUCAUUGUCCUUUACAGUAAAUCUCAACUUCUUAGUGUGAGCAGUGCUUCUUUGUGAAAUAUGACAGAAAACCAAACAACUUGGGGUUUUAUUGAUUUAAGACACAACUAUGAAAAUGUGGAACCAAUAAAAUCACAGUACUGCUUUACAUCGCAAAUACCUGCUUACACUCUAAAAAUGGAUAUGAAUACAAGAAAAUCUACUGUUUUCAAAUGAAGGUAAAUUUGAAAACAGUACAUUGCUGUCCGUCCGUCCGUCCGUGUAUAUAUGACUCAAUGCCCCGCACCUGGAUCCUGGAAUGCAUAGAAAUGUACUGCAUAGUUCUGCAUAGGGCUGAACCCCCUCAGUGAGAUCAUCAACAAGACUGGCUAUGGAUGCCGACUACAGAGUGGAGCAGUUGUCAGCCACUUCCUGUACAUGGAUGACAUCAGGCUGUAUGCCAAGAGUGAAUGAGACUGAUCCACACCACCAGUAUAUACAGCAAUGACAUCGGAAUGUCGUUUGACUGGAGAAAUGUAGUUGGAUGAUAACAAAGAGAGGGAAGGUAGUCAGAACUGAGGGGAUCGAACAACCAGAAUGCAACAUUGCAGGCACAGAGGACAGCCACAAUUACCUGGGGAUCCCAGCAGGUACAUGGGAACCAUGAAGAGGUCUGUAGAAAAGUACCUGCAGAGGGUCAGGCAAGUCCUGAGGAGUCAACAGAAUGGGAAGAACAAGAUCCGGGCUAUCAACACCUACCCCCUGCCCGUGAUCAGGUACCCUUCUGGGAUAAUAAGCUGACCAAAGAAGGAGAUAGAAGCCACUGACAUCAAGACAAGGAACUCCUGACCGUGCAUGGAGAGUUUCACCCCAAGUCCAGCACCCUGAGGCUGUACGCUAAACGGAAGGAAGAAGGCCAACGGACAUCGAUGAAUGCAUCUUCCUGAUGCAUUCGUGGAUGUCUGUUGGCCCCAACUGACCGCGUGCUCAGUGAAUACCUCAGGCAACAGAAACAUGAGGAAGAGGAGGAACCAUCAUGGAAGGAUGGUACGGCACGGUAUGUACCACAGGCAGAUAGAGGAAGUGGCUGGCAUCCAGAAAUCCUACCAGUGGCUGGACAAAGCUGGACUGAAAGACGGCACAGAGGCACUAAUCAUGGCAGCACAGGAACAAGCUCUGAGCACAAGAUCCAUAGAGGCUGGGGUCUAUCACACCAGGCAAGACCCCAGGUGCAGGCUGUGCAAAGAUGCCCCUGAGACAAUCCAGCCCAUAACAGCAGGGUGUAAGAUGCUAGCAGGCAGGGCAUACAUGGAACGCCAUAACCAAGUGGCCGGCAUACAGAAACAUCUGUGCCGACUAUGGCCUGGAAGUCCCGAAGUCAAAAUGGGACUUCCUUAUAAUAGAAAAGUCUAUUAUAACAUGUAGGGUGGUGGAGAAUGACCGAGCUAAGAUCCUGUGGGAAUUCCGGAUACAGACGGACAAAAUGGUGGUGGCUAACCAACCGGACAUAGUCGUGGUAGACAAACUGAAGAAGAUGGCUGUAGUGAUCGAUGUAGCGGUUCCCAACAUCAGCAACAUCAGGAAGAAGGAUAAUGAGAAGCUUGAGAAAUACCAAGGGCUCAGAGAAGAUGUGGAGGGUGAAGGUUCCCACUGGUAAUCGAAACACUAGGUGCAGUGACUCUAAAGCUAGGCGAGUGGCUCCAGCAGAUCCCGGGAACAACAUUGGACAUCUCUGUCCAGAAAAGCGCAGUCCUAGGAACAGCUAAGAUACUGCGCAGGACCCUCAAGCUCCCAGGCCUCUGGUAGAGGACCCGAGGAUAGACCGCCCGCAGGGGCGAGUGGGGAAUUCUAACAAAGAUGCCUUGAUUUUAAAAAAAAUAGAUAACUAACAGACGUUAAAAUAUUUCAAUAUAUUUCAAAUAAAGUCAUAAUUAGAGGGGACGCCCAUGAGAGCACUCAGCCUCACCAAAUUAACAUCUGCCCUGUUGUUGAGAAUAAAACAGACUUUGGGCAGGUAAGCAAACAAAUCUGAACAAAUUUGAACUUUGAUGUUAAACAAGAGCUGAAGUAAAACAGCCUCCACCUACAAACACAUGCAUUAUAAAACAGGUCUAAACGCUCACUGGAGGCUGAUUACAAAAUGAGAGGACUCACACUGCUCUGUUUGGUGGGAUUCAUUCUCACAGCUUCGCUGCAUGAAGGAAGCACAGCACCAGCAAAGAAUAAUUUGUGCCAUGGGUGCUGGAAUAGCUUUGAAGGUACACGUGAUGGAACAGAAUCAGCUGGGGGAAAUGACACACAGAACAAGACCUUGCAUCUUCAUCCAAAUAAUGCUACUCAUGCUGGAAAUGCCACAGAGGUUCAUCACAACAAUACAGCUGCAGCAAAACUGAUAGAAGACCCGUGAUGCUAAAAAUGUGGAAACAUGAAUCUUCACAGAGACAGACGACCGUGAUUCUGCUGGUGUUACUGUCUACUCUGAAUAAACACUAAAAUGAUGUUUUGAGAAAAAGAUUUUCUUAUUUGUUAACAUGUAUCCUAUAGGAUCAUUUAAAAUGUGUUUUUUAAACACAUUUAAGAGCUUAAACGUUCAUGUCCAAACACACAUAAAACACCUAUUCUGACAAAAUGAGUCGGUGCCACACUGACACUCUGCUGUCUUGCUUCUUCAUGAGUAUCAUCACUGUGGUUGAUCUAAAUUCCCAUCUUUUGUCCUUUUGCUGUUUUAAACACCAAAUCCACAAAAACGGUUUGUGACAAACUAACUCGACAUGACAGCACCUGUGUGUUACAGGAGCUGCUCCUGCUUUACAAAUUUACACCAUUAAUACAAAAUAACCUGACUCGCACUGCUGUAUUCUCACAGCAUCACAGAGACACUCAUAUCACUGAUGGAUGUUCACAGAGUUACUGAACAGAAAAAAUUAAAUGCAUAUAUAUUUAGAUUUUUGUAGUUUUAUAAUUUUUGGACCAGAUGGAAACACAAGCUUGACU
ensembl:lncRNA